GGAGUCCGGGCGGAGUCUUCCUGCAAUUAAAGUUAAAGGCGAAGUCCGGCUCCCGUAAGAGUCCGGACAAGGCUUACCGACAGCUGAUGUUGAGGACGGAGCCCGGCUCCUGUAGGAGUCCGGGCGGAGUCUACUUGCGGUUGAGGUUGUUGGCGGAGUCCGACUCCCGUAGGAGUCCGGACGAAGUCUGUCUGCAGCCGCUGGAGUCGAGGACGGAGCCCGGCUCCCAUAGGAGUCCGGGCGGAGUCUUCCUGCAAUU
rnacentral:lncRNA from 1 species